GACGAACGCUGGCGGCGUGCUUAACACAUGCCAGUCGAACGGAAAGGCCCUGCUUUUGUGGGGUGCUCGAGUGGCGAACGGGUGAGUAACACGUGAGUAACCUGCCCUUGACUUUGGGAUAACUUCAGGAAACUGGGGCUAAUACCGGAUAGGAGCUCCUGCUCCUUGGUGGGGGUUGGAAAGUUUCGGCGGUUGGGGAUGGACUCGCGGCUUAUCAGCUGGUUGGUGGGGUAGUGGCUUACCAAGGCUUUGACGGUUAGCGGGCAUGGAAGGGUGACCGGCCACAUGGGAAGUGGGGUAGGGCCAAGGCCCCAACGGGAGGAAGGGGUGGGAAAUUGUGCAAAAAGGGCGGAGCGCGGGAGCAAGACGCCCGGGUGGGGAAUGCCGGCUUUGGGGUUGAAAACCGUUUCGGCCGAGGAGAAGGGGGGGGGACGGGAAAGGGGAAAAAAAGCACGGAUAACUUAGGG
rnacentral:rRNA from 1 species